AAGUAUUUUUCCUGAUAAUAGCUUCAGUAGCGAUGCCAAACAGACUCGUAAAAGGGGUGGAUAUGAUAUUUGAUUGGAUAGAGUUUUGGUGCCAGAAUGUAACCAAUUCAAGUAUUAGGUUUUAUCAUCGAGAAGAACGAAGUAAUAGAUGAGCGUGUAAUUUAUAUGAUCAAAACAAGAUGGAUAAAAUAGAGUAGUGCGACUGGUGUGGUGUGCAACUAUAGGAUACUUGACAAAGUAAAAGGUAAUUUCUAUAGAAUUAUGGUUAGGUCAAUUUUGUUGUAUAAAAGUAAAUGUUGGACAUCUAAGGUACAAUAUACCUACAAGAUGAGUGUGAUAGAAAUAUAGAUGUUAAGAUAGAUAUUUGA
rnacentral:misc_RNA from 1 species